GCUGUGAUGGCCUAGUGGUUAAGGCGUUGGACUUGAAAUCCAACGGGGACUCCCCACACAGGUUCAAAUCCUGCUCACAGCG